UCCCAUAGAGACUGACUUCAUGCAGA
rnacentral:piRNA from 1 species